rnacentral:lncRNA from 1 species
GGAUAGCUAGCAAUCUUUCUUCCUUUAAGUCAUCCAUUUCAUCUUCACACCUCAUCCUUGGUGUGGAGACUUAGAGACACUAAAUCUUUGGUGUUCUUGGAAAUCAUUUCCUCACAUCCUCAAGGAGCAAAGGAGUAUCAAAAGGAAGAAAAACACAAGGAAGAUCUAAGGAGCUAGGAGGUGACUUGAAGGCCCUCCACUUGGGUGAAUCCCUUGUGUAAACAAGGAUGAGCU